rnacentral:rRNA from 1 species
CGCAACGAGCGCAACCCCCGGGCUUAGUUAGUUUCCUAAGCCGACUGCCGGGACCAACCCGGAGGAAGGUGGGGAUGACGUCAAGUCAGCACGGCCCUUACGUCCUGGGCUACACACACGCUACAAUGGCCGGUACAGUGGGCGGUGCGAAGCCGCGAGGCGGAGCGAAUCCCUGUAAAGCCGGCCCCAGUGCAGAUCGGGGG